UCCUAAUUUUUCUUUCUCGUCGUCCUUCCCGCUGGCGAAAAAUUAUCACAGCUAUAAUGCGCCAAAUCCAAUUAUGGGAGUACGGUGAAGAAGACAUAGCAGAACUAGUCAUCUCCGUCCGUACAAUCUAGGGUUUAUGAACCAUUGAUAGGCGAUGUACAGAGUACAGCUUAUCCUCUUAGGGCUCUCAAGGGUUCUGAUUUUGCCUCGAAAGCUGUAUAGCUGUUAGGGAGCUCAUUGCGGUUGUUUCACCAGGUGCAGUUGACCCAGUGGAACUAGUUCGCAAUACUCGGUCAAGAAAAGCUGCCAUUUUGUCGAAUUUGGAAUCUAGAGUAUGUUAAUGUUUUCUUGGUAUCAGGCAUAAACUUUAGCAAUAUUAAGAGAUUAUUACGCAUCAAGGUUUUCUUGAAUCGCAUUUGCUUACGCUUAAGGUGCAUUUCUCAGUUGAUGGCUGCAGAAGAUAUAGGUAGACAAAUGUUGACAUAUGGUAAGAGGUACGGCUCUAUUUGUGACCAUCUAUCUGGUGGUGAAUUAAAGUACCACAUACUGAGAUAAAUUAUUGCUUAUUCACUUACUCUGUAUGUUUUUCUGCAUUUAUCUGGUAUGCUGCUGUACAUGUAGUCUAUGUUAUCUCAUUUAUAAGAGAGUCCAAGUAUAGUCCAAAUACACUGGAUGUUUGCUCUUCUGCUUUCUCGUAUUUGUAUGAUUUUACUUUAAUAACAUGUUUGGGAAAACUUUUCUUAGAGAUUAUAAAUUCAGUUUCAUUGCAAGA